GAAAAAUAUUAAAUUAAAUGUGUUUUUUUCCCCCAGUUUGUCAGAUGAAUCAGGAGAACUAAAAUUCAGCGAGGUGAAAUCGGGAGAAAUCGAAAAGAGUGACCUCGGAAGUGAUGACGUGUUCCUGUUUGAUUCAUGUGACCAGAUUUUUGUUUGGAUUGGUAAGAAUGCUUCGCCGGCUGAGAAGAGGAAGGGAAUUGAAUAUGCCUAUAACUACCUUGGUGAGACAAAUCGUCAACAUUUGCAAAUUCAUAGAGUCGUAGAGGGUCAUAACUCUGAAAGUCUCGAUAAUGCUUUGUCAUGUUAAAUAUUCUGCAGGAUUUAUAACGAGGAGGAAUGCCGUGUAAAGCUUCUAGACAAUUUUAGGCACUUGUGAAUAGAGAUUUUAUCAUGUAGUAACUGUAUAUGUCAACAACAUGAUGAAAUAUACCCGCAGUUUUUGUCUUCCAGAUUCAGAUAUCUAGCUUGAGUAUUAGCAAAUACGUGUGCAUUGUUAUUUCUUUUUGAUAAAAAUCUUAUACUAUUAAAGAGAACUCGGGGGAGUUUAUAUUUCAAAGCAGAAAUGUUAUUAAAUUAUGUCUUGUGUAAAGAGAGGUCCUAUGUUCUUUUUAUUAUCAUUGUUUUAUUUCUUAUGCUAUUUUAUUUAUCUAUAGAAAAUGUUAUAAGUAACUGCACUCACAAUUUAAGUUUGCUAUUUAAGGACCAAAAUAUUGUU